GACGAACGCUGGCGGCGUGCCUAAUACAUGCAAGUAGGACGAGUUACGAACGGGUGAGUAACGAGUUGGAACCUACCUAUUAUAGGGGGAUAACGAUUGGAAACGAUAGCUAAUACCGACUACUAGUAGACGGACCUGCUUUUUAUUAGCUAGUAGGUAGGGUAAAGGCCUACAUAGGCAACGAUACAUCGCCGACCUGAGAGGGUGAUUGGCCACACUGGGACUGAGACAAGGCCCAGACUCCUACGGGAGGCAGCAGUGGGGAAUAUUGCACAAUGGGCGAAAGCCUGAUGCAGCCAUGCCGCGUGUGUGAAGAAGGCCUUCGGGUUGUAAAGCACUUUCAGCGAGGAGGCGUUACUCGCAGAAGAAGCACCGGCUAACUCCGUGCCAGCAGCCGCGGUAAUAC
rnacentral:rRNA from 1 species